rfam:Branchiostoma floridae genomic scaffold BRAFLscaffold_17, whole genome shotgun sequence.
AUCGCUUCUCGGCCUUUUGGCUAAGAUCAAGUGUAGUAUCUGUUCUUAUCAGUUUAAUAUCUGAUACGCUCCGCAUCGCGGAGCCAUAUAUUAAAUUGAUUUUUGGAAGGAGGCUAUGGACUAGGUGCUUGCACCAUCCUAGCCACGGGUUGGCCCGGUAUUGCAGUACCUCCGGGAUCGGCCCACCCCUC